AAUUAUCUAAAUUGGAGUUUCUAUCAGCAUGAGAUAGCAGACACAUAACAAAGUAGCUAGCGAUCAAUCUAGCAGGAAAGUUCAAGAUAUGAUCUCCAUGCAUCACUCAUGAAAAUGCAAUUGAAUGUCAACAAGCAGUCACUGAACGUUGGCAGAAUCUCUCUGUCAUUAGUAAACAGUGACAAAAAAACAAGGGGGUAGAUACCAUU